rnacentral:rRNA from 1 species
UGCAAGUCGAACGAUGAUCCCAGCUUGCUGGGGGAUUAGUGGCGAACGGGUGAGUAACACGUGAGUAACCUGCCCUUGACUCUGGGAUAAGCCUGGGAAACUGGGUCUAAUACCGGAUACGACCAUCUGGCGCAUGUCAUGGUGGUGGAAAGCUUUUGUGGUUUUGGAUGGACUCGCGGCCUAUCAGCUUGUUGGUGGGGUAAUGGCCUACCAAGGCGACGACGGGUAGCCGGCCUGAGAGGGUGACCGGCCACACUGGGACUGAGACACGGCCCAGACUCCUACGGGAGGCAGCAGUGGGGAAUAUUGCACAAUGGGCGCAAGCCUGAUGCAGCGACGCCGCGUGAGGGAUGACGGCCUUCGGGUUGUAAACCUCUUUCAGUAGGGAAGAAGCGAAAGUGACGGUACCUGCAGAAGAAGCGCCGGCUAACUACGUGCCAGCAGCCGCGGUAAUACGUAGGGCGCAAGCGUUAUCCGGAAUUAUUGGGCGUAAAGAGCUCGUAGGCGGUUUGUCGCGUCUGCUGUGAAAGACCGGGGCUCAACUCCGGUUCUGCAGUGGGUACGGGCAGACUAGAGUGCAGUAGGGGAGACUGGAAUUCCUGGUGUAGCGGUGAAAUGCGCAGAUAUCAGGAGGAACACCGAUGGCGAAGGCAGGUCUCUGGGCUGUAACUGACGCUGAGGAGCGAAAGCAUGGGGAGCGAACAGGAUUAGAUACCCUGGUAGUCCAUGCCGUAAACGUUGGGCACUAGGUGUGGGGGACAUUCCACGUUUUCCGCGCCG